AAUAAAUUAUACAUUAUAUUUAUAUCCACAAAUUGUAUAUAAUCCUCUUAUCGUGCAUUUCCAUUAAUGUCCACUUAACUCUCGAACAACGUGUGUGUUCCAAUAAUUAUUCUCUCGCGAUCCGAUGUCACUUCAGAAAUUGAACACCACCCUGGUAUUCUGAUCCCUCGAGGGUCUUCGAUACCUUCCACUCGAAUCACAAAAAGAAUCGAUGAAUAAAAUUUGUAUCGAUAACUAGAGAGCGCCAAGGUAGAAAGUUCCUUAUACAAUUGCGAUCCAUUGUCAUUGUCUUAAUUUAAAUACCAAAGAAAUCAAGAAGAAAAACAAAUUAAAAUUUUUAUUAUGUUUAACAGUUACGAAUAUUACAAAAUGAUUCCAAGAAAUGAUUCUAGAUACACGUAAGGAAAAUUUACGACUUCAUAUAUGUAUAAGUGCUUGCACCAGGUACUUUGCAGAUUUUUUUUUUAGAGCGGAAGUGGAGCACCUUCCGACCGAUAUACGCAACAACGUCAAAGUGGGUGGCGAUGAGGAUGUAGGUAGGGAUACAGACGAUGCUACGGGGAGUAGGCAAUAGCAUGGGGAUAGGCCGUAAUUGGUAUAAAAUCAUCGAGCAAACACAUCGGACAAGACAGCCUGAGGGUUGUGGGCGGUGUUACGUGCCGUUGCCUUGGUAACCAUGGGGCGACUCUGCUAAAGCACCCCUUCGCCUUGAUUGCGCACAGGCCCAUCCGUUCAUGUACGUCUAAUGGCGGAACGAGCGUUCAGAGAACUGAUGGCGAUUAUAAAGAGGCACGUGUCUCUCUUCAUGAGAGAGGCCCCAUGCAGGCAAGCACGCGGCCACCGAAAGCUAACCCAAGAAUCGUACAAGGCACAAUUAAUUUAUUGUUCGUGCCGGUAUAGUGACAAUCGAGGGAACGCCGGAGAAAAACAGGAUCGUUGUUUUCUUCUAUUUCGUCCGAGGGGUUCAGGGAACGGAUGCUGCAAGCCGAUCCUCGGCUUUGUCAACGGGGAUAAUUGUCAACGAUUUUUGCAGAAUGGGAGAUCUCUAAAAAAAGAUAUCUUUUUCUAUCCGAGAAUUAAACGGUUCAAGAUGGAUGCAUAAUAUAUAAUUUAUAAUAUUUAUAAGAGAUCCAACGAGACAUUAAAGAGUAUUUCCAGCAAGCUCGUAGUCAAGCUUAAUCUCCAUAAAUUCGUAAGGGAGAAGAAAUAUAUCGCACUCUUGGUUUAAUGUUAUCUGCUUUUCGCCGGUAUCUACAGCGAAUUAGAUCGGAGGUAAUGAGAAAUUUUUCUCAAAAAAAAAAAAAAAAAAAGAAGAAAAAGAAAAGAAAAAGAAUUGUCUCGUUAUUUAUAAAGUA